rnacentral:ncRNA from 2 species
GUCUAAAUGGACGGGUCUGGUCCUGCCGGAGACAUCCGGAUGCUAAGAGGGAAUUUGGUGCGGCCUGCGCGCAGGUCAAAUCCAAAGCCGCCCCCGCGACUGUAAGCGGUGAGCCCUGUUCAACCAGCCACUCCCGACCCGUUCGGGGGGAAGGCGAACAGAGGCGCUGACCCGCAAGCCAGGAGACCUGCCAGGCGAACAUUGAAACA